rfam:Peregrinibacteria bacterium GW2011_GWA2_47_7 TY05_C0013, whole genome shotgun sequence.
GGUCCCAUCGUCUAGGGGUUAGGACACUGGAUUCUCAUUCCGGAAACAGGGGUUCAAUUCCCCUUGGGACUA